GAUGAACGCUGACAGAAUGCUUAACACAUGCAAGUCAACUUGAACUUCGGUUUGGGUGGCGGACGGGUGAGUAACGCGUAAAGAUCUUGCCUCACAGCUAGGGACAACAUUUGGAAACGAAUGCUAAUACCUGAUAUUAUGAUUAUAUGGCAUCGUAUAAUUAUGAAAGCUAUAUGCGCUGUGAGAGAGCUUUGCGUCCCAUUAGCUAGUUGGAGAGGUAACAGCUCACCAAGGCGAUGAUGGGUAGCCGGCCUGAGAGGGUGAUCGGCCACAAGGGGACUGAGACACGGCCCUUACUCCUACGGGAGGCAGCAGUGGGGAAUAUUGGACAAUGGACCGAGAGUCUGAUCCAGCAACUCUGUGUGCACGAUGAAGUUUUUCGGAAUGUAAAGUGCUUUCAGUUGGGAAGAAAAAAAUGACGGUACCAACAGAAGAAGUGACGGCUAAAUACGUG
rnacentral:rRNA from 1 species